UCCGAGGUCGUCUAACGGUAGGACAACAGAUUCUGGCUCUGUUUAUUGGGGUUCGAAUCCCUACCUCGGAA
rnacentral:tRNA from 1 species